ensembl:misc_RNA 7SK 7SK RNA
GGACGUGAGGGUGGUCUGGCUGUGACAUCUGUCACCCCAUUGAUUGCCAGGGUUGAUCCGGUUGAUAUGGCUGGCUAGGUGGGUGUCCCCUUCCUGCCUCACCACUCCAUGUACAUCCCUCCUGAAGCUGCUUGCUUGGUCAAAGAGGACAACCAUCCCUGAUAGAGGAGGACCGGUCUUCAGUCAAGGGUAUACGAGUAGCUGCGCUCCCCUGCUAGAGCCUCCAAACAAGCUCUCAAGAAGAUUGAAUGUUUAAUCCUGAUUAUGUUAGACAGAACAAUCACAGAGAAGAAGAAAACUCUGAAUCUUGGGAUGGGGCCAUCUGUGUCA